rnacentral:rRNA from 1 species
UACGUAGGUCCCGAGCGUUGUCCGGAUUUAUUGGGCGUAAAGCGAGCGCAGGUGGUUUAUUAAGUCUGGUGUAAAAGGCAGUGGCUCAACCAUUGUAUGCAUUGGAAACUGGUAGACUUGAGUGCAGGAGAGGAGAGUGGAAUUCCAUGUGUAGCGGUGAAAUGCGUAGAUAUUAGGAGGAACACCAGUGGCGAAGGCGGCCUGCUGGGCUUUAACUGACGCUGAGGCUCGAAAGUGUGGGUAGCAAACAGG